rnacentral:rRNA from 1 species
UACGUAGGUGGCAAGCGUUGUCCGGAAUUAUUGGGCGUAAAGCGCGCGCAGGCGGUCCUUUAAGUCUGAUGUGAAAGCCCACGGCUCAACCGUGGAGGGUCAUUGGAAACUGGGGGACUUGAGUGCAGGAGAGAAGAGUGGAAUUCCACGUGUAGCGGUGAAAUGCGUAGAGAUGUGGAGGAACACCAGUGGCGAAGGCGGGAUCCUGGGCCAGUACUGACGCUGAGGAGCGAAAGCGUGGGGAGCAAACAGG